UACAGAGGGUGCGAGCGUUGUCCGGAAUCACUGGGCGUAAAGGGCGCGUAGGCGGGCUGGUAAGUCAGGGGUGAAAGCCCACGGCCCAACCGUGGAAGUGCCUUUGAUACUGCCAGUCUCGAGGGAGGUAGGGGCGUGCGGAACUUCCGGUGGAGCGGUGAAAUGCGUAGAUAUCGGAAGGAACACCGGUGGCGAAAGCGGCGCGCUGGACCUCUUCUGACGCUGAGGCGCGAAAGCCAGGGGAGCAAACGGG
rnacentral:rRNA from 1 species